GGUCCACCUCCGGGAACUCUGUUUUGUGACUGAGUGUUCUAUGUAUGUGAGCAAGACUGGAGUUUGUGUAGUGGUUGUGUGUGUGUGGAGGAAGCUGAGAGCUGUAUGUGGGGUGAGGGAUGCUGUGUGUGCCACUGUGUACUGUUUGAGUGUUAUGUGUGGUGACUGAAAUUGUUUGUGGAGGACACUAAGUGUGUUGUGUGUGUG